CUGAGUCUCUUCCCUCAGUAAGGCUUGACAGACACAGUGUUGUCCUAUUAGUUGCGCCAUGUAUCAAAUAUAGAGGAAGCCAUUAUCUAGAAAAGUUUAGGGUAGGUGAAGUUUGUGGCUGGACCUUUAAAACAAAAUUCUCUAAGUCUGUAAAUAAUCUCAGCUAAUGAGAGUUAAGAUGAAACCUAUCCGUGAUCUUCAGGUGCUGUUUUUUCCCCCAAGGUUAACAAGCACUCCAAGUGGGAUUAUGCAUCCUGGCUGUUCUCCUAGCGCUGGAUGAAAGCUGGAUCCUACAUGAGGAGCAACAAAGGGGCUGCAGAGCAGUGAUCUGUUACUCUUCUCUCACAUGUAGAUGAGUAAAAGGCUGAAGAGAACCGAAGCAGUGGAAAAUGCCACACUUUUAUUGAAGUUCAGUGACACAAAAGCUGACGAGAUGCUGAGUGAUUCAUCAGACAGCGCAGUCAGUUGGAUGCGAAGGAAUGCUGGAGAAAGUAUCAGUUACAAUAAUAAGUAGAUUAAUAAUUACAAAAAGCUUUGGUGCUCCCCCAGAGCUAGCCUGAUCCUACACAGUGAAUGACUUAAAUAAAACAAGUGGGAG
rnacentral:lncRNA from 1 species